CCUGGGCAACAGAGCAAGACCCUGCCUCUAAAAAAAUAAUAAAUAGAUUUAAAAAAAAACAAAAACUUUAAAUGGUUUUGCUGGGAUAACCGAGGGCUACAAGAGACACAUAUUUGAAGAACUAUUUUAGCUCGAAGCAAGUUCUUAACCAAAAACUGUAAAAACAUUACUUCCUUCUUCCUCCUAAGUUUCUUGGCAGGAAGUCAGCUGUACGAUUUUAAAUUUAAAGGUUCAAUCAGGUAUUACCUACAGUAAAACCCUAUACUGUAAGACAGAAAAACUCUGCCCAGGACUUCAGUAGCUCAGAGAGGGAAGGGCUUGAUAUGUAUCCGAAAAGAUGACUUUCGGAAAGUAAGAAAAAAAGAAAGAUCCUUUCCACGCCAAAUCCCUACCCUCCUCCACUCCCAAUGAAAACAGACCUUCUUCCACCUUAUCCACAGGCUCCUCCACCAAGCCAACGCCAGGACUCCUGCAAUCAUAGGAUGGCAACAUCACCUCUAAAGCACAGAAGAACUUCAGGCUUUGCUUCGGAAGUGGCACCAUGCUAUCUUCAUUUUCUCUUUCUUCAAGGAACCUUAAACAAGUCACUCAACCAUCUUGAGUUUGAGUUUCUUCAUCUAAAAAACCCAGAGAACUGGAAGAUUAGUGUGGCAAUGCAUCUGAAAAUAUUCCGUAAACCAGAGUGCUAGACAAAUGCUAACCUAUUAUUGAAUUCAGCACUUCAUCACAGCGGAGCUAGGAAUUCCAUAUUUGGACCCACCUUGACUGGAGAUUUCUGAAAAAGCUGCUUCCGGUCGCAUGCCUUUUGGGCUCUGCGGGCAGCCCUUGCUGAAUAAAACUUAAUGACGGCAUAGAAACCAGGAUGGGCCACUGCAGCAUUUGGGAAGACCCGGACUGAAUACAGAAGGCCAAACUGGGAAAAUGCUGUGAACAGAGAAUGCUGUGGGGGUGGUCCCACCCCAAGUGCGCUAAGAUAGGGAAGCUAAAAGCAGAAUCGAGGGGUAUGCCUACAGCUGCAGGAUGUAUGGGAACAGACACAGAAACUCUUCCUCCCAGAUAAGCAAGACAAAGAGGCACAGACUAAAAGUUGGCCUAUGUGCUCGGGAAUGGGGUUCCAGCUGGCCCGGGGAUUUCUGGGAGGACUUGUAGAAAAAGGCCGUCUACAGUAGGAGCCUCUUCUUCCUCACCACGUAUGCUUCAGCCCUGCCCAACUAACAGCUCUCCAUGUUCUAAAGAAGGAGGGAGUGCUGGGCCAUCCCAGCCUUCUGGAACUCCAGUUCUGUGACGUCAUCCAUCUCCUGGAAAUACACUGGUUUUAACCAGGCAAAUUGGCCAAGCGUCAGGCAGAAUUAGCAGCUGGGCCUGGGAGGACAGGUGACAUCUGUGAGGAAAAUGGCCAGGUGGGACAGGGUGGAGAGCACUGGCUGUUUCCUUCCUUUUUGGGAACAGCACCACCUUUGGGAGAGCUCCUUCCCUCAUGGGGUUUUAGUGAGGGCUGCCAGUCCUAGGGCCCUGCCCCCCAACAUUCCCCAAUAAGCAUAGGAAUGCUUGUGUGCCAGUCACUGUAUUUGUAAACGGAAGCGGUGGACCUGCUCAGCUUCCAAUAGAAAGCCCGUGUGUGCAGGGCCAGAGGACACAGCCCAUCUAAGGCGCUAAGCCUCCAUAAAGAGGGAGUGGAAUCUGGACAGGAUUCCAGCCCCAGGGUACACCCUUUCUGGGACCCAAACACACCCUUCCCCUUCCUCCAAUUCUGAGACUCAGUAAAUGUCUCUACUUGCAGAACAAGUUUGAGUUGGGUUUCUGUCACUUGCAGCCAAAAGAGCCAGUCACAGUCGGCAUCGGGUCAACCAUCUGUGAAAUGGCGACCUGACACCCUGUCCCUUCCCUGUGAAGGCCACAACAUCCCAACACCAUUAGUCACUGACGAAGUCCAGGAGAAAUUUCUACCAACUGUAGCAAAAGAGAUGCAAGGGAGAAAACAUUUUGUUACUGACAGUGCACUCUUCCCUCUGAAACAGGGAGGCAGGAUCUGACAGAAAAAAAGGACAAGUGGCGGCCGGGCGCGGUGGCUCACGCCUGUAAUCCCAGCACUUUGGGAGGCCAA